UAUAUUAAAAUAUGGAAUGGCCCAUUAAAGUACCAACAAUUAUCUCUUAAUUAAUACCCGGUUCUACUUCUUUCACGAUACCUUUUAAAAGCAUUCUCACAAUCUUCGCGACUUUGCUGUGCAUUUGCACCGCUGUAAUAAUAAUUCCAGACUGUCUUGGGUAGAAAUUCUUGAGCGUGCUUUUCAAAAUCGUCGAUACACACAGGAUCGCCAGCCAUCUUUGGAAGAUGUAUCCAAAAUCCAAUAUUUCAAUGGUAUAUUUUCACAAAAUAUUUUCACCAGUACCUGAUCUCAAAUUAAGAACUGGACCACAUCUCCAUCAAGUUUUAAAAACUCACUUUGGAAAUCAGCCUCGGUUGACAUGCU